rnacentral:lncRNA from 1 species
ACACUCAAAAUGAUUAAUACUCUAUACAUGCCAUAGUUUUAAACAUUUUGAAAAACACAUAAUACCGAGAUCGUUAUGAUAGUGUGAUACGAGCUCCGACGAUCCCCAAUUCGAACAAGCUCAAAUCACUAUAAAACAAAGGAAAGGAGAAAAUAUGUAAGCUACAAAUAGCUUAGUAAGUUACAUGUAAACAAUAAGUACUCAUUUAGUAAUUGACAUUUCUCUCAUAUAACUAAUCAAACAUUUCUUAGCAAUUUCAAUCACUUACACAUGCAUAAUCUUACCCAUUUCACUUGCACAUGCACUUAUACACUUAACAUUUAUCACAUAUGCUCAUUCUUUUAAACAUACCUGCAUACACACUUCAUUUCAUAUUCACUUCAACUCAUUAUUAAUCCCAUUGAACACUCGGAAUAUACACGGAUACAUAGAGAAUUAGCACAUAAGUGCCACACUGAUACGUAGCCGAAGCUACCACUGAAAUGUAGCCGAAGCUACCACUGAUCAAUAACACUGGAAAUGUCCACGGGCCUGCUCACACAAGCUGUCAGGUGUCUGCAACACAUGCUAGAUCACCCAACACCCGGGACUCACUGUAACACUGGUCUCUAGUGACAUGUCACUUGUAUCCACUUCUAUUCCUAAGUUCAACCGGGAAUUUACACUUAACACUUUAUUUUCAACACUUUAUCACUUGAAUAAUUCAUGAACAAUUUUCCUUCUACAUUCAAUAUUGAUUCACAUAUCAAUAAAAUUCACAAUUUAUAAAAAUAUAUUGCUAUUAUUUACACAUAACUUACCUCGGAUGCAAAACGACUAUUUUUGUAAUUUAGUCGAUAACUUUCUCUUUUCCCCGAUCACUUCCACUAUUUCUUCUUUCUUGAUCUAUAUUAACACAAUUUAAUGCAUUUUAUCAAUAUUCCAUUCAAAUACAAUUUAUACACAAUAUUUUGGCAAACUUACAUUUUUUCCCAUAACUUUUCAAAAAUUACACUUUUGUCCGAAAGCUCGUAAAAAUAAAAUUCACUAAAUUUUUAAAUUUCAAACUUCACUAUAUCAUAUUCCAUGCUCAUAACAGCCCUCAAUUUCAAAAAAUCACAACUUUAUGCACACUUUACUAUCUUUCACAAUUUAGUCCUUUUUCAACAUUUUCAUCGAAAUUCAUCUAGUAAAACUUGUAAUUAACACUUCAAACAUUCAUUAUCUAACAUCACUAAUCAAUUUACAAUUAUAUCAUGAAUGAGUCAAUUUUUAAACUUUAAUUCCAUUAAAAAUAAAUGGUAGAAACAUGAAAUUCAAGUUUCAAUAAGCAUAAAAAUACGAAAAUAAUUAAAAACAGGGCAAGAAAUCACUUACAAUUGAGCUUAAAAAAAUCAAGAACCCUAGCUAUGGUGACAUGAAUUUUUUU